GUGGAUUAGCUACCCCGGUAGUCCACGCCGUAAACGUUGGGCGCUAGGUGUGGGGAACAUUCCACGUUCUCCGUGCCGCAGCUAACGCAUUAAGCGCCCCGCCUGGGGAGUACGGCCGCAAGGCUAAAACUCAAAGGAAUUGACGGGGGCCCGCACAAGCGGCGGAGCAUGCGGCUUAAUUCGACGCAACGCGAAGAACCUUACCAAGGCUUGACAUAUAGGGAAAUCUCACAGAGAUGUGAGGUCCGCAAGGGCCCUAUACAGGUGGUGCAUGGCCGUCGCCAGCU
rnacentral:rRNA from 1 species